rnacentral:tRNA from 1 species
AGGAAUAUAGUUUAAUGGAUAAAACACUUGGCUACGAACCAUGAGAUGAGAGUUCGACUCUUUCUACUCCUA